AAGCAGUGAUGACAGAUACUUUGUAUGAAAACAUGAUGUAUAACUUUAUACGCUAUACUGAGCUUUUG